rnacentral:rRNA from 1 species
AUUGAGCGCUGGCGGCAGGCCUAACACAUGCAAGUCGAACGGUAACAGGAAGCAGCUUGCUGCUUUGCUGACGAGUGGCGGACGGGUGAGUAAUGUCUGGGAAACUGCCUGAUGGAGGGGGAUAACUACUGGAAACGGUAGCUAAUACCGCAUAACGUCGCAAGACCAAAGAGGGGGACCUUAGGGCCUCUUGCCAUCGGAUGUGCCCAGAUGGGAUUAGCUAGUAGGUGGGGUAACGGCUCACCUAGGCGACGAUCCCUAGCUGGUCUGAGAGGAUGACCAGCCACACUGGAACUGAGACACGGUCCAGACUCCUACGGGAGGCAGCAGUGGGGAAUAUUGCACAAUGGGCGCAAGCCUGAUGCAGCCAUGCCGCGUGUAUGAAGAAGGCCUUCGGGUUGUAAAGUACUUUCAGCGGGGAGGAAGGGAGUAAAGUUAAUACCUUUGCUCAUUGACGUUACCCGCAGAAGAAGCACCGGCUAACUCCGUG